GGAGCGGCUGAAUGCGGGGCCGUGGCGCUGUCUGAGACGCUCUACUAUUCUCACAGUGAACCGGUCUCUUUUCCAGCCGCUCA
rnacentral:pre_miRNA from 8 species